AUAGGGUUUCUUAAUGCUCAAUCUCUGGUUUUGAGUGGGGCUCUUAAUGUUCAAUCUCUGGUGUUGUUGUUUUUUCAUUUUUUGUUUGUUUUUCUUAGACUGAUGACUUUUGAUUGCCCCUUUAUUGAUCUCCUGAUCAAAUGUUUUAUAUUCAAAUAAUUUGAGAGUUUCCCAUAGCAAAGCUUGGACCUUGCAAUACAUAUCAAAAUGUGGAGCGGGUAUAAUUGAUUGAUUGGUUUUACCUAAUGUUCAGUGGCAAACAUUUCAUUCAUAAGGACGAGAUGGGUAUGAUUUUGUGAGCUCUUAUCAUACCGUUGUUUUUCAAAACCCCUUUAGUCUUUAGAUAUACCUUGUAUCUAAGCACUUUUAACGCCUCAUCGUUUUCGCCUUGUGCUUUCUUAGAGAAAAUUUAAAAUCCAGACCGGAAGCACUUAAAUCUCGAUAAAAUUGUGGUCCCUUUUUAUUCCUUUCAAACGACAAUAAUUUAAUACAUAUUUUCGCCUUGGUUUGAUAUAGAUUUGAUAUGAAAUCAUUGAUUUUCCGAAAGUGUGAUUUUAAAACUGAUAAUCCCACAGUCCACCAAUAAACUGUCAUACAAGAUAGCCUUAGACAACUAUGGGUGAUAACACAGAUAACGAGGAGGAAGGGUGCAUUGUUUUAUGUCAUUGUAAUGCAAUCUAACGAUAAAGUCAAAUACCUCACGAAUGAUUAACUCCUCUUAAUAACAAGGAUGUGGCUAUUACUACUGAACACAGUGUUUGUAUCGAUUGGUCCUCUGUUUAGCAUACCAACUUCUCCUACAAGUCUUACACACUGUGAGAAGAUAGCAGACCAUGCUCCUGGAAUUAUAUCAAAGGUAACCCUCUUUGAUAUAAAACUAUCGACAUACAAUACAGCUGUUGGUACCGUCGCCAAAGUAAGUUGUCUGGAUGAUGCAUUGGUUGUGAAUGGGGCCGAUACUCUAACAUGUCUUCCAAAUGGCCGAUGGAGCAGUGCCAAACCAAAAU